GUUGAAACACCUGUUCCCAUAUGAUCACCAAAGUUAAGCAACAUUGAGUCUGGUCAGUAACUAAAUGUGUGAUUGCUUGGGAAUACCAGGAAACUA